AAAGAACUGAUAAUAACAUUGCUAAUAAAAAGAACAAUGAUAACACCAAAACAACACCGGCUUCUUUCUGGUUGGCCUUUGAGUCAUUCGAUGGUCAGGCUGAAUGCUCACUGCUCAGUGUCUUUGUCUCUGGCUGUCUCUGGGCAGAUGAAGGCUGACCCGGAGCCCAUGGGCACGGGGGCUGGUUGCCUUCUCUGGGGAAGUGCAGAAACUGCACAAGAAACUGAGCUCUCUGAGAUGUGGAUUCCAGGGACCCAGGAGGGAUCCUUGAAGGAGACCCUUGAAGUACUAUGCCUGUCAUGAAAACAAAAAAAAAAACUUGAAGGAAGGCCAGACUUUUCCCAGCUUGGGAAAGUAGCAUGGAAGAAGCCCAAGAUGUUAGUUUCUCUUAAGGUCUUUCCAUUUCAUCCUGACUUGUAAUUCCAGUAGAAAAGAAAAAACAAAAACAACAAACAACAAACAAACAAACAUCAACCCAACAGAAAAUAGCAAAGAAAGUAUCUUAGUUAGGGUUUCCACUGCUGUGAAGAAACAUGGUGAUCAAGGCAACUCUUAUAAAGGACAACACUCAACUGGGGCUGGCUUACAGUUUCAGAGGCUCAGGCCGUUAUCAUCAUGGUGGGAAGCAUGGCAGCAUCCAGGCAGGCCUGGCGCAGGAGGAGCUAAUCAAUUUUGGUUGAUUGAGACUUCAGAAUGAAAAACAAACAAACCAACCCUCAGUUUUCCAUUUUCUUUCAAGUUCAGUUAUGAGCAGCAGGUCUGAGUAAUGAACAGAGCCAGGGUCACCUCAGGCUUCACUUAGGGCUUCCUUUUCCUUAAAGAGACAGUGCCGCUGAGUCCUCCGGGAUCCCUGUGCAAGGCAGCUGCAGAAGCUCCUGAUCUGAGGGCUGCUAGAAGACUAGUUCUCCUAAGCAGCUAGGAAUAGGGUCUUGAAGCACACCCCCACAGUAAUACACUUCCUCCAACAAGGCCACACCUCCUACUAGUGCCUCCUACUGGGCCAAGCAUAUUCAAACCACUACAGAAAGAGAUGUUGAAGAAGAUUACACAGACAUUCAUGGUCUUGCUAUGUCACCCAGGCAGUCCUGAAACUUCUGGGCUCAAGGCGUCUUCCUGGUUCAGCUUCCAUAGUAGCUGAGCCUGCAAGCUUGUGUCUUUGCACCCAGCUACACAGAAAAACCCUGUGUACUGCUUCUAAGAUAUAAUUUAGACAAGGUAAUUAUAUAAACAAGUGGACAAAAUAAUUAAAAAUAAUUGUAAUUAAACAUAUAACAAUAUUAUCAUCAAGUUUUCAUAUGUGCAGUGAAAGUAUAUUGGAUGAUGGAUAUCACUGCGUUGUGGCAAAAAAAAAAAAGAAAUGAAUAAUUUGCAAUGAAAAAAACUGUCAUUUUGGACAUCAGCAUGCCUAUAUGUCGGGGCAGUGCAUCUGUGUGACAUCAAAAUCACAAAGAGAAAACAAGAAAUUCAUAAUCACGCUGUAGAUGUAAGUAACAACCUUACACUCCCAAGUCACAGAGAACACAUUCUCUCCAGCUCACGGGCAAGUUAUACAGAAGCAAACACCAAUGGCCAAGGAUCACCUGACCGUUCAAUAACUUAGAAAUCAGUAUAAUCAUCACAUUAUUGCCAUCCACCUCCAGACUCCUAACUACUAAUGGAGAAAAUUAAUGCAAAUUAGCAAAUUUUAGUACAGGUCAGACAAUCAAUGCACUAGUACCAAGGUAUAUAAAGCUUUAAAAGCA
rnacentral:lncRNA from 1 species